UACGUAGGGGGCAAGCGUUGUCCGGAAUCAUUGGGCGUAAAGCGCGCGUAGGCGGCCCGGUAAGUCCGUUGUGAAAGUCAAAGGCUCAACCUUUGAACGCCGAUGGAUACUGCCGGGCUAGAGUCCGGAAGAGGAGAAUGGAAUUCCUGGUGUAGCGGUGAAAUGCGCAGAUAUCAGGAAGAACACCCGUGGCUAAGGCGGUUCUCUAGUACGGUACUGACGCUGAGACGCGAAAGCGUGGGGAGCGAACAGG
rnacentral:rRNA from 1 species